AUGAUAAAAUUGAAUUUUCUCCAAUUAAAAAAAUAAGAAAUAUUUUAUAUUAAGCUGCUAACUUAAUUAUAGUGAAUUAUUCUCAUUAAUAUUUCU
rnacentral:tRNA from 1 species